CCUACGGGAGGCAGCAGUGGGGAAUUUUGGACAAUGGGGGCAACCCUGAUCCAGCAAUGCCGCGUGUGUGAAGAAGGCCUUCGGGUUGUAAAGCACUUUUGUCCGGAAAGAAAUCGCGCUGGUUAAUACCUGGCGUGGAUGACGGUACCGGAAGAAUAAGCACCGGCUAACUACGUGCCAGCAGCCGCGGUAAUACGUAGGGUGCGAGCGUUAAUCGGAAUUACUGGGCGUAAAGCGUGCGCAGGCGGUUUUGUAAGACAGGCGUGAAAUCCCCGGGCUUAACCUGGGAAUUGCGCUUGUGACUGCAAGGCUAGAGUGCGUCAGAGGGGGGUAGAAUUCCACGUGUAGCAGUGAAAUGCGUAGAGAUGUGGAGGAAUACCGAUGGCGAAGGCAGCCCCCUGGGACGUGACUGACGCUCAUGCACGAAAGCGUGGGGAGCAAACAGGAUUAGAUACCCUGGUAGUCCACGCCCUAAACGAUGUCAACUAGUUGUUGGGGAUUCAUUUUCUCAGUAACGUAGCUAACGCGUGAAGUUGACCGCCUGGGGGAGGUACGGUCGCGAGAAGUAAACUACUUAAUUAGUAAGUUAGAGGCGNGAGACGNGCCGAGGACGACGACGAGGGAGGAGG
rnacentral:rRNA from 1 species